CACCGAAGCUGCGGCAGCGAUGCUUAUGCGUUGUUGGGUAGGGGAGCGUUCUGUAAGCCUGCGAAGGUGUGCUGUGAGGCAUGCUGGAGGUAUCAGAAGUGCGAAUGCUGACAUAAGUAACGAUAAAGCGGGUGAAAAGCCCGCUCGCCGGAAGACCAAGGGUUCCUGUCCAACGUUAAUCGGGGCAGGGUGAGUCGACCCCUAAGGCGAGGCCGAAAGGCGUAGUCGAUGGGAAACAGGUUAAUAUUCUUGUACUUGGUGUUACUGCGA
rnacentral:rRNA from 1 species